CUUGUGGCAAUUAAAUCAUGCCUUCUAGAAUUAAAAUAUUACUUGCGUUCGUCUAUUUCUUGGUAGUCUGUGAAUUGUAGAACGAAUUGGCCAUUUUAAUGGAAGCAGGAGUACUUCCAAAAAUGGAAUCCAGAGCCGAAACGAUGCGAUGACGAAUUUAGUACUUCAGGAGAAGAUCAAAUAUCUGAAGUAGCUCUAAAUUCCAAAAUUUGGCUCGCACAUCAUUCCGCACCGUUUGAGGACGUUUUCAAGCAUUGGAUCGAAACCAAUAGUUUCAGACGUACUCAGUUGACCACUUCGACCUUUCAGACGGUGUCCUGUAUUUUAAACGAAUGACCUAUUUUGAAGUAUCAUUUUGGAUAUAUCCUAAUUGAAAAAGAUUUUGAGAUAGAAUAUUCAGAAAAAGUAAAUAAUUUUUUUACGAAAUUCUCUGCUCUGUUUGACGCAGCAUUGGAGCUGAAGAAAAAUACUUGUGUCAACACGGACAAUGAGGUCUUAGUUAACCUGUACAAGGCGAAUUAUCACAAGAUUCACGAACCCUUAUUCAGACUUAUCUAUUAUGUUUUUUCAUAUGUAAUAAGUCAAUGAAGUUAAAAAAGUGGAAACCCAGUGUUGCUGAAUCAAGAGAAUCGAUUAUACUUCAAGUCAAGUGCCCUACCUAGCAUAUUGAACAAAUUUUUACAAUUAAAUCUUAAUUCUGCAUAUAAAAAAUAUUGUAUUUAGGCAAAUAAAUAAAUAAUUUUAGUUACAAAACUGGUAUGCUUCUCGUAAUUAAAGUUUACUGUUACGGAUAAAAUAUAUAUAUGUUUUAAAAAUCUUAUUAAAAUUGGGAAUAAUAUAUACCUUUCUAUUCUAAAUUAUAAUUUAUUUAUCACAAUUAAAUCAAGAUAUUCUUGUUG
rnacentral:lncRNA from 1 species